rnacentral:tRNA from 1 species
GGUCCCGUAGUGUAGCGGUUAUCACGUCGCCCUGUCACGGCGAAAGAUCGCGGGUUCGAUUCCCGUCGGGACCG